UGCGCAGGCGGCCAAGUGUGUUAGGCGUGAAAGCCCGGGGCUUAACCCCGGAAUUGCACCUAAAACUACAUGGCUAGAGCAUUGGAGAGGGUAGCGGAAUUCACGGUGUAGCAGUGAAAUGCGUAGAUAUCGUGAGGAACACCAGAGGCGAAGGCGGCUACCUGGACAAUUGCUGACGCUCAGGCACGAAAGCGUGGGGAGCAAAAG
rnacentral:rRNA from 1 species